rnacentral:tRNA from 1 species
GCGCCCGUAGCCUAACGGAUAGGGCAACAGCCUCCGGAGCUGUUUGUGUGGGUUCAAUUCCCACCGGGCGCGCCA